rnacentral:rRNA from 1 species
GACGAACCGUGCGAACGUUAUUCGGAAUCACUGGGCUUAAAGGGCGCGUAGGCGGGCUCGCCAGUCAGGGGUGAAAUCCUCCAGCUCAACUGGAGAAGUGCCUUUGAUACUGCGAGUCUCGAGGGAGGUAGGGGCGUGCGGAACUUCCGGUGGAGCGGUGAAAUGCGUAGAUAUCGGAAGGAACACCGGUGGCGAAGGCGGGUCUCUGGGCCGUAACUGACGCUGAGGAGCGAAAGCGUGGGGAGCGAACAGG